AUUCCAUGAUGAAUAUAAAAAUGACAAGCAUAUGGCUGAAUUUAACGGUGAUGUCGUUUUUACUGCUGAGAUGU
ensembl:snoRNA SNORD27 Small nucleolar RNA SNORD27